GGGACACGUGGUAUCCUGUCUGAAUAUGGGGGGACCAUCCUCCAAGGCUAAAUACUCCUGACUGACCGAUAGUGAACCAGUACCGUGAGGGAAAGGCGAAAAGAACCCCGGCGAGGGGAGUGAAAAAGAACCUGAAACCGUGUACGUACAAGCAGUGGGAGCACGCUUCGGCGUGUGACUGCGUACCUUUUGUAUAAUGGGUCAGCGACUUAUAUUCUGUAGCAAGGUUAACCGAAUAGGGGAGCCGAAGGGAAACCGAGUCUUAACUGGGCGUUAAGUUGCAGGGUAUAGACCCGAAACCCGGUGAUCUAGCCAUGGGCAGGUUGAAGGUUGGGUAACACUAACUGGAGGACCGAACCGACUAAUGUUGAAAAAUUAGCGGAUGACUUGUGGCUGGGGGUGAAAGGCCAAUCAAACCGGGAGAUAGCUGGUUCUCCCCGAAAGCUAUUUAGGUAGCGCCUCGUGAAUUCAUCUCCGGGGGUAGAGCACUGUUUCGGCAAGGGGGUCAUCCCGACUUACCAACCCGAUGCAAACUGCGAAUACCGGAGAAUGUUAUCACGGGAGACACACGGCGGGUGCUAACGUCCGUCGUGAAGAGGGAAACAACCCAGACCGCCAGCUAAGGUCCCAAAGUCAUGGUUAAGUGGGAAACGAUGUGGGAAGGCCCAGACAGCCAGGAUGUUGGCUUAGAAGCAGCCAUCAUUUAAAGAAAGCGUAAUAGCUCACUGGUCGAGUCGGCCUGCGCGGAAGAUGUAACGGGGCUAAACCAUG
rnacentral:rRNA from 1 species